rnacentral:rRNA from 1 species
AUACGGAGGAUCCGAGCGUUAUCCGGAUUUAUUGGGUUUAAAGGGUGCGCAGGCGGCCAUUUAAGUCAGCGGUUAAAUCGUGGGGCUCAACCCCAUUCUGCCGUUGAUACUGGGUGGCUUGAUUGCGGUCGAGGUUGGCGGAAUUCGUUGUGUAGCGGUGAAAUGCAUAGAUAUGACGAAGAACACCGAUUGCGUAGGCAGCUGACCAGACCGCAAAUGACGCUCAUGCACGAAAGUGCGGGGAUCGAACAGGAUUAGAUACCCUGGUAGUCCGCACAGUAAACGAUGAAUACUUGUUUUCGGCGAUAUAAUGUCGGAGGCAAAGCGAAAGCGAUAAGUAUUCCACCUGGGGAGUACGCCGGCAACGGUGAAACUCAAAUGAAUUGCCGGGG